UGAGUUUAUCGUCUAAUGGAUUAGGACCAAGAUUUUCUAAGUCUAAAAUGUAGGUUCAAUUCCUGCUAAGCUCAU
rnacentral:tRNA from 1 species